rnacentral:tRNA from 1 species
CACCAGAGGGUGCAAUAAGACUUGCUAACUCUUUA